GUCCGGUCCUCGAGCGUAUGGGGCUUUGUCACCCGCUCUUGUAGGCCCGGCCGGCGCCAGCCGACCCCCUCAAUCUAUUUUUUCAGGUUGACCUCGGAUCAGGUAGGGAUACCCGCUGAACUUAAGCAUAUCAAUAAGCGGAGGAAAAGAAACCAACCGGGAUUGCCCUAGUAACGGCGAGUGAAGCGGCAAGAGCUCAAAUUUGAAAGCUGGCUCCUUCGGGGUCCGCAUUGUAAUUUGCAGAGGAUGCUUCGGGAGCGGUCCCCAUCUAAGUGCCCUGGAACGGGCCGUCAUAGAGGGUGAGAAUCCCGUAUGGGAUGGGGUGCCCGCGCCCGUGUGAAGCUCCUUCGACGAGUCGAGUUGUUUGGGAAUGCAGCUCUAAUUGGGUGGUAAAUUUCAUCUAAAGCUAAAUAUUGGCCGGAGACCGAUAGCGCACAAGUAGAGUGAUCGAAAGAUGAAAAGCACUUUGAAAAGAGAGUUAAACAGCACGUGAAAUUGUUGAAAGGGAAGCGCUUGCGAUC
rnacentral:rRNA from 1 species